rnacentral:lncRNA from 1 species
AGCAUAAUAUUAUAAGGAAGGUUCGUGUGCAUAAACCGACCAUAUUCGAAAGACGGAUGUUGUGUGGACAUCCUAACUGCAGAGGCUGCUCCUAUAGGCUUUGCUCUUCAGUGUUAAUCACAACUGUAGCCUUUAGGACUGGAGAGGUGGCGGGCUUUGCCUAGGAUCAAGCAUCAUUGUUGCCAAGGGCCAGAGCUAACAACUACAGUACCCUGUCUCCUGGUGCCCUAAUGCCACCUUCUUACCUUCUCAGGCACUCAUGAACUCGGGAACAAAAAUUCCUAUAGCUUGCGCUCACAAUCUCGGGGCGAAGUACUCUACUUCCAGCUCUGAAACUUUUUUUUAAAGAUAUCUAUUUAUGAGUACACUGUAGCUGCCUUCGUGCACAUCAGAAGAAGGCAUUAGAUCCUAUCACAGAUGGUAGUGACACCAUGUGGUUGCUGGGAAUUGAACUCAAGACCUCUGGAAGGAGCAGUCAGUGCUCUCAACCUCCGAGCCAUCUCUCCAGCCCCUGAAACUUUUUAAAAGGCUAUUGACACUUCCAAAAGCGUGCUGGCACUGUCUCAGAAGGGACUCCAGAGGUCGGCGCCAGAAUUUACCUGGAUCCCUGUGCAGGCCCCCGGGAAGAAGCCGUGGGAAGCCAUUUACCUGGCUGAAGAACUGCGUCAUAGUCCAUAGGCACUGCCUUCGUCUCUGCUCCAGAUGUUUCUGUUUGUCUGUCCAACCCUGCAUUACCUUCUUCUGGUACUGAUCGAUUCUGUUCAGCAUGAUGUACAAGUUCUGAAGCUCAUACCCUUUCCCAGUGUUUUGGAUGGUUUUCACUCGUUUGCUUAGGUGGUUUCUUGAGAAAAAAAAAAAGAAGAAUUAGAUCCAAACAGUCCUCAAACCCAACUUAGCACACCUGACUUUGUUUCUUUCUGUUCCUGUAUUAUUCUGAGCUAGUAGAAGGUAUGACGGGGUGGGAGACUUGUUUAAUGAGACCUUUUGUCUAAUCCCCUAUAAGUAUACAUUUCUAUGCCCAGCCAUGGUGGCUGUAAUCCCAGCACUCAGGAGGCAGAGGCAGGUGGAUCUCUGAGAUUGAGGCCAACCUGGGCUAUAGAGUGAGUUCCAGGACAGCCAGGGCUACACAGAGAAACCCUGCUUGAAAAACCAACCAACCAACCAACCAAACAAACAAACAAACAAACAAGAAUAAAUUUCUAAUCAUCUAUAUUGCUUUCAAAUUUACAGGAAAUCUCUGAGUGUGUGUUGCAAUUAGUUUUGCUUAUUGUAAUCCUAUCCUUCAGGAGGCCGAGGUAAAGGAGUAGUCUCCUUUAAGGCCAGCCUGGGCUACAUAUUAAGUAAGCUCUAGGUCAGCCUCACCUUCAAAGUAAGACUAUCAAAACAAAACAAAACAAAGCAAAACAAACAUACAAAAAAAAAACCAAGAAGAAAAUAUAUAUUUGGC